rnacentral:rRNA from 1 species
GACGAACGCUGGCGGCGUGCUUAACACAUGCAAGUCGAACGGAAAGGCCCUGCUUUUGUGGGGUGCUCGAGUGGCGAACGGGUGAGUAACACGUGAGUAACCUGCCCUUGACUUUGGGAUAACUUCAGGAAACUGGGGCUAAUACCGGAGAGGAGCUCCUGCUGCAUGGUGGGGGUUGGAAAGUUUCGGCGGUUGGGGAUGGACUCGCGGCUUAUCAGCUUGUUGGUGGGGUAGUGGCUUACCAAGGCUUUGACGGGUAGCCGGCCUGAGAGGUUGACCGGCCACCUUGCGACUGAGAUACGGCCCAGACUCCUACGGGAGGCAGCGGUGGGGAAUAUUGCACAAUGGGCCGAAGCCUGAUGCAGCAACGCCGCGUGCGGGAUGACGGCCUUCGGGUUGUAAACCGCUUUCGCCUGUGACGAAGCGUGAGUGACGGUAACGGGUAAAGAAGCACCGGCUAACUACGUG